UACGGGGGGGCAAGCGUUGUUCGGAAUUACUGGGCGUAAAGGGCGCGUAGGCGGUUUGUUAAGUUGAAUGUGAAAACUCUGGGCUUAACCCAGAGCCUGCAUUCAAUACUGGCAGGCUAGAGUUCUGGAGGGGAUAGCGGAAUUCCUGGUGUAGCGGUGAAAUGCGUAGAUAUCAGGAGGAACACCGGUGGCGAAGGCGGCUAUCUGGACAGAGUCUGACGCUGAGGCGCGAAAGCUAGGGGAGCAAACAGG
rnacentral:rRNA from 1 species